UGAAGGGAUUAUCAUUUAGAGGGAAGUCAGUUCCAAACAAAGUCAAACACUGGUCAAGAGGAGAGAGUGAGGAGACAAGAGUCUUAGUUAAGAUGGAAGAGGUCAAGUACUGGACUUCCCAGUUGGGAAGGUGAGAGGAUUGUAAGGAUGAUGAUUGUACGGUGGGUAAAGAGUAGGGGUAGAUGGGAUCCUCUACCGAGCUGAUAUUCUUCUGGGUUUCUCGGACCCGCUUCACCUCAGGAAGGUCUGGUAUAGCUGUACCUUGACUCAGAGAAUCUUUGUACUGUA